GCAUCCAUGGCUGAAUGGUUAAAGCGCCCAACCGGGCAAAUUCGUAGGUUCGAUUCCUACUGGAUGCG
rnacentral:tRNA from 1 species